rnacentral:tRNA from 1 species
GCCCUGGUGGCGGAAUUGGUAGACGCGUAAGUUUCAGGUACUUAUGACCGUUUGGUCGUGGAAGUUCGAGUCUUCUCCAGGGCA